ACAACGAAACUCUAAUCUCAGCAAAACUAUCUACCUUGGUGAAUCCAACUCUUUUAUCUUCUUUAUUUAUGUUUUUAUGUUUUUAAACAAACACCCAAUAUAUUUGUAAACCAUCAUUUAAGUCUGUUAGCUAUUGAACGGCAUAAGUAUUACACCUCCCUGUGGAUACGACAAAACCCUUUACUAUACUACAAUUGAGUCUUGAGAGAUUCAACGUAGAGUGGUAAAAAAAAUCUUUCAACAA
rnacentral:lncRNA from 1 species